UGCCAGCAGCCGCGGUAACACGGGGGGCGCAAGCGUUAUUCGGAAUUAUUGGGCGUAAAGAGCAUAUAGGCGGACUGUUAAGUCUGAUGUGAAAGCCCGGGGCUCAACCCCGGAAGUGCAUUGGAUACUGGCAGUCUUGAGUAUGGGAGAGGAAAGUGGAAUUCCGAGUGUAGGAGUGAAAUCCGUAGAUAUUCGGAGGAACACCAGUGGCGAAGGCGGCUUUCUGGACCAAUACUGACGCUGAGGCGCGAAGGCGUGGGUAGCGAACGGGAUUAGAUA
rnacentral:rRNA from 1 species